GAUGAACGCUGGCGGCGUGCCUAAUACAUGCAAGUCGAGCGAACGGACGAGAAGCUUGCUUCUCUGAUGUUAGCGGCGGACGGGUGAGUAACACGUGGAUAACCUACCUAUAAGACUGGGAUAACUUCGGGAAACCGGAGCUAAUACCGGAUAAUAUUUUGAACCGCAUGGUUCAAAAGUGAAAGACGGUCUUGCUGUCACUUAUAGAUGGAUCCGCGCUGCAUUAGCUAGUUGGUAAGGUAACGGCUUACCAAGGCAACGAUGCAUAGCCGACCUGAGAGGGUGAUCGGCCACACUGGAACUGAGACACGGUCCAGACUCCUACGGGAGGCAGCAGUAGGGAAUCUUCCGCGAUGGGCGAAAGCCUGACGGAGCAACGCCGCGUGAGUGAUGAAGGUCUUCGGAUCGUAAAACUCUGUUAUUAGGGAAGAACAUAUGUGUAAGUAACUGUGCACAUCUUGACGGUACCUAAUCAGAAAGCCACGGCUAACUACGUGCCAGCAGCCGCGGUAAUACGUAGGUGGCAAGCGUUAUCCGGAAUUAUUGGGCGUAAAGCGCGCGUAGGCGGUUUUUUAAGUCUGAUGUGAAAGCCCACGGCUCAACCGUGGAGGGUCAUUGGAAACUGGAAAACUUGAAUGCAGAAGAGGAAAGUGGAAUUCCAUGUGUAGCGGUGAAAUGCGCAGAGAUAUGGAGGAACACCAGUGGCGAAGGCGACUUUCUGGUCUGUAACUGACGCUGAUGUGCGAAAGCGUGGGGAUCAAACAGGAUUAGAUACCCUGGUAGUCCACGCCGUAAACGAUGAGUGCUAAGUGUUAGGGGGUUUCCGCCCCUUAGUGCUGCAGCUAACGCAUUAAGCACUCCGCCUGGGGAGUACGACCGCAAGGUUGAAACUCAAAGGAAUUGACGGGGACCCGCACAAGCGGUGGAGCAUGUGGUUUAAUUCGAAGCAACGCGAGGAACCUUACCAAAUCUUGACAUCCUUUGACAACUCUAGAGAUAGAGCUUUCCCCUUCGGGGGACAAGGUGACAGGUGGUGCAUGGUUGUCGUCAGCUCGUGUCGUGAGAUGUUGGGUUAAGUCCCGCAACGAGCGCAACCCUUAAGCUUAGUUGCCAUCAUUAAGUUGGGCACUCUAAGUUGACUGCCGGUGACAAACCGGAGGAAGGUGGGGAUGACGUCAAAUCAUCAUGCCCCUUAUGAUUUGGGCUACACACGUGCUACAAUGGACAAUACAAAGGGCAGCGAAACCGCGAGGUCAAGCAAAUCCCAUAAAGUUGUUCUCAGUUCGGAUUGUAGUCUGCAACUCGACUACAUGAAGCUGGAAUCGCUAGUAAUCGUAGAUCAGCAUGCUACGGUGAAUACGUUCCCGGGUCU
rnacentral:rRNA from 1 species